GGGACCAACCAGUUCGGAUCCUCUGUCCCAAUUUCCUGUCCCACUUCGUGUCCCCAAAGCAAAACUACAGCGUUUUAAUUUAAAUUAAUUAUCUUUUCUUUUGUUAACAUUUCCACCGAUCGGCUCGGCUGGUUGAAGCCGCAAAUCAUCAUCUUCUUCUUCUUUCCUUCUCCAUCUAAAUCUCCUCUAUUCUCUCUCUUGGAAAAUUUCUCCCUCCACCGAAAAAUGGGGAUUUCAUAUUCUGAAUUUCUUCAAGAUUUUUAGUCUACCGAGAGACUUGUUGAUUGCUCAACAUAUUUGCAACUUGGGAACAUGAAAUAUUUUUGGCUGAAAAAUAAAGGAAGGAAAAGAGAAGGAAGGACAUGGAUAUGUUGAAGGCUGUUGAGGCUUAUCUUCACGCAAAUUCUGAUGCUUGAAAGCUCCAUACAUAAAGCUCUAUAUAUGUUGUUUUAUCUUGGUUUGUUGUUCAUUUUAAGUUAGCAUUGGACCUUGUAGGGUGUGAGUUAUAAGCAGUUGUGAUUUUCUAUUCAAAUAAAAGAGUGUUUCUUUGUAUCUUUUUGGUCUUGUGCAAGUAUAAAGUUGUUGGAUUUGUCUUUGAAAAAUGCCAAAAAGUUUGUUAA